rnacentral:tRNA from 1 species
CAGAAAAUAGUUUAUUAAAAAUUUUAAUUUUGGAGAUUAAAGAUAAAGAUUUCUUUUUUUCUGA